CUAACAUUGUGUAAUUUAGUUCUUUUCAGGUACCCCCGCCAGAAGGACGGAAGCAUGGAGACGCUGAGGAGCCUAAGGAGUCAUCACAGAUGCAAAUUGCCGGUCGUCAGGAAGAGGAGUUGCGAAGAGUAAUCCCACGCAGCUGUCAUUGCAUUUUAUUGAGCUGCUGGCAUUAUGGUGGUGGCGUUCGUCUCGUGGCAGAGAAGUCGUCAGUGAGGAUUGUAGCUCGGUCUAUCACCGAGGAAAGCCAGGUGCGCCGCGUCUUGUGGCCAUAGCGUCAGGAUUGGCAGCUUGGGGCCGCCGGUUCGAGAUUUGUUGCAGAGGGCCGCCGCAACGUGAUAGGCAUGGAAAUGAAUGUAAGAAUAGUAUUUGAGUUUACAAUCUUGGAAAAAACAGUUGCAUGCUUAUCUUCAGC